ACCUGUGUGUAUGUGUGUCGUGUGUGUGUGGUGUCAUGUGUAUAAUGGUGUGUGUGUCUGUGUGCGCAAGCGCCUGCACCAUACAUAGCCUGCGUGUGGAGGUCAGGAGUCUGCAGUCUCCUUCCAUCAUCCGAGUCCCAGGGAUCAAACUCAGGUUGUCAGCUUUGUGGGAAGCUCCUUUAGUUGAUGAGUACCUUGCCAGCCAGUGAUUCAUUUCUGACUGUGAGUAGAGACUUCUUCCCUAACACAAUUCCACAGUGGAUCCUGAGUGAGGAUCAGCAGUGAGGUCUGCCGGUGCUAGUUCAUUUAAGACCUUAUUUUAUUUUUAAUCUUGUGUAUCUGUCUGUUCAGGUAUAUGCAUGUGAUCGCGAGCACCCUUGGAGUUGAGAAGACACUCAUCCCUGGAGCUGGUAUGGGUGCUGGCAUCUGAGGCCAGGUCCUCUGCCAAACGAAGAAGGGCUUUUAAGCACCGAGCCAUCUCUCCAGCACAGGGGCUGGUUCAUUCUGCCCCGGCCUUCCUGCACCUCCUAGCCACACGGAAGAGAAGGAGAUCACCACACGGUGGGCUGGGCAGGGAACACUGUGUCACAGCUUGAUGUCACCAGCCCCGUUGUCAGACUCUUCUCCAUCCCGAGAGGACCUAAGAUCUGAGGAAAAACCCUUGUCAAGAUGAAGGCUGAAAAUGUCAAAGUAAACACAGGACUACAUUUCUGUGAUCCUGAGAUUGGUACAUUCUAUAUGAAGUCUUUUUUUUUUUUUUUAAAGAGAAACAAAUUGUGUUACUUCAGUUUACAUGGGGUAAGUUCACCGACCCUGGUCCAGGACAGCAAUGCCAAUCAUGUUGUCCAUCCCAUUAAAAGCACUUGGGAAUUGGGGUUCCUAACCACUUACCCUGUGGACAAAUACACAGACGGGUCCCAGGAAUUUUCAUCUUCAUGUCUUCUAUGGCAAGCUUGGACAAAUGAUUUACUGUGUUCUCUUUUCUUUCUAAUAUUCACUUUCUGUCUGCUAUCAUUUGACGUAGUCUGUCCUCGUCUCAGCUCAUACAAUAGCAGCCUGGGCCUCAGUGUGAUGCUGUGAAUGUAACAGCAAUGGAGCCUUCAGGAGGUGAAGCAUCAUGGUGUAGAUUAGAUGUUUGGGACAUUGCCUCCAGAAGGAAUUCAGACCUCCCGAGACCCCAGUUAGUUCUGGGGAGGUGGUUGUUGUAAAAAUCAGGCCAGUCCCUCCUCCUGUCUGCCCUCCAGUACUCACCAUCAGGGAGGUAUACACUUUGGGUACCUCACCAAAGCCAUGCAGAACUUGCUUCCAAGCUCUUGGGACUCCAGAACUAAAUAAACCUCUUCUCCCUACAGAUGA